rnacentral:rRNA from 1 species
GUAACGUUAAGGGCGGUGAAAUCCCGCCCCGCCGUAAACCCAAGGUUUCCUGGGCAACGAUAUUCGUCCCAGGGUUAGUCGGGAGCUAAGUCAAGGCCGUAUGGCGUCGGCGAUGCACAUUGGGUUAAUAUUCCCAAACCGGCUAUGGUUAAACCACACGUGCGUGGAAAUUGAGAAAGCAUGCCGGCUGAAAGUGGCAGAAGGAGGCGGGGUAACCCAAAUCCGGCCUUUUGAUCCGACCACCGAGAAAAGCGUUGUGGCCCUUUCCAUGGCCGCCCGUACCGCAAACCGACACAGGUGGGUGGGUAGAAUAUACCAAGGCGAAAGAGUGAAACCUCGUUAAGGAACUCUGCAAUCUAGUCCCGUAACUUCGGAAGAAGGGAUGCCCACUUUUAGUGGGUCGCAGUGAAAGGGGACAACCGACUGUUUAUCAAAAACACAGCAUUGUGCCAAGACGAAAGCCCAAGUAUACGAUGUGACACGUGACCAAUGCGGAAAGAUUAAGGCAAGGGGUUAGCCGCAAGGCGAAGCUCUAAACCCAAGUCCCCGUGAAUGUCGGCCGUAACGAUAACGGUCCUAAGGUAGCGAAAUUCCUUGUCGGGUAAGUUCCGACCUGCACGAAUCGUGUAACGAGUUGUCCGCUGUCUCAACGAGGGGCUCAGUGAAAUUGUAAUGGCAGUGGAGGUGCUGCCUACCCGCAGAAGGACGGAAAGACCCUAUGCACCUUAACUGUAAGCUGUCACUGGUCGUUUGGUUUCCAUGCUUAGCGUAAGUGGAAGACUUUGAAGCGGAACUUUCGGGUUUCGCAGAGUCGUCAAUGAAACACCACCCUUGGGUAUUGAACGAUCUAACCGCAGUCCGUGAAUCCGGAUGUGGGACCAUGUCAGCCGGUCAGUUUUACUGGGGCGGUAUCCUCCCAAAGAGUAACGGAGGAGCGCGAAGGUUGGCUCAGCGUGGUUGGUAAUCACGUGUUGAGUGCAUUGGCAUAAGCCAGCCUAACUGUGAGACCUACAAGUCGAACAGAUGCGAAAGCAGGCCAAAGUGAUCCGGUGGUUUAAUGUGGAAUUGCCAUCGCUUAACGGACAAAAGGUACGCUAGGGAUAACAGGCUGAUUUCAUCCAAGAGUUCAUAUCGACGAUGAAGUUUGGCACCUCGAUGUCGGCUCGUCGCAUCCUGGGGCUGGAGAAGGUCCCAAGGGUCCGGCUGUUCGCCGGUUAAAGCGGCACGCGAGCUGGGUUCAGAACGUCGCGAGACAGUUCGGUCCUCUAUCCUCUGUGGGCGCAGGAAAGUUGAGGGGUUCGAUUCCUAGUACGAAAGGACCGGAAUUGACGCACCUCUGGUGUUCCAGUUGUUCUGUCAAGAGCAUCGCUGGGCAGCUACGUGCGGAAGGGAUAAGCGCUGAAAGCAUCUAAGCGCCAAGCCCAUCCCAAGAUAAGCUUUCCCUGAAGGAUCGUGGAAGACUACCACGUUGAUAGGCCACGGGUGCAAGCGCAGCAAUGCGUUCAGCUCAGUGGUACUAAUCAUCCGUUUGU